rnacentral:rRNA from 1 species
CAGUCGCCGCGGUAAUACAGAGGAUGCAAGCGUUAUCCGGAAUGAUUGGACGUAAAGCGUCUGUAGGUGGCUUUUCAAGUCCGCCGUCAAAUCCCAGGGCUCAACCCUGGACAGGCGGUGGAGACUACCAAGCUGGAGUACGGUAGGGGCAGAGGGAAUUUCCGGUGGAGCGGUGAAAUGCAUUGAGAUCGGAGAGAACACCAACGGCGAAAGCACUCUGCUGGGCCGACAUUGACACUGAGAGACGAAAGGUAGGGGAGCAAAUGGGAUUAGAUACCCCCGUAGUCCCUGUCUCUUAUAC